UACAGAGACUGCGAGCGUUAUUCGGAUUCACUGGGCGUAAAGGGUGCGCAGGCGGCCGUGUGUGUGAGGCGUGAAAUCCCGGGGCUUAACCCCGGAAUUGCACCUCAAACUACACGGCUAGAGCAUUGGAGAGGGUAGCGGAAUUCACGGUGUAGCAGUGAAAUGCGUAGAUAUCGUGAGGAACACCAGAGGCGAAGGCGGCUACCUGGACAAUUGCUGACGCUCAGGCACGAAAGCGUGGGGAGCAAAAGGG
rnacentral:rRNA from 1 species